rnacentral:rRNA from 1 species
AUGGCAAUCACACUUGUAAGAAAUCAUGGGAUGCCAAGUGUUUGUCGGUCAAACUGCUUACGAAAAAAGUUCAUUGAUGAGUUUAGAGACAACAAGAAGAUGGACUUGAUCACUUUUGGGAACAAAGUUCAGAGAGAGUUCAAGAUCAGACCCCAUAGAGUGAAGUUAGGAAGGGCACGAAAAGCCGCAUUAGAUUUGAUACAUGGUGAUGAAGAUGCUCAAUAUUGUCAGUUGUGGAACUAUGGUAGAGAGCUUAGAAGAAGUAAUCCUGGUAGUACUUUUCUUCUUGGUACUACUCCUAUUAAGGAGAAAAAAAUGAGGAGCCAAAGGAUCAUUUGUCAUCAUUGUAUUGGUCAUAUGAUGCUUGCAAGAGAGGCUUCUUAA